rnacentral:rRNA from 1 species
GCCUUGCCAGCCCGCUCAGAAACUCAAAGGAGUUGACGGGGGCCCGCACAAGCGGAGGAGCAUGUGGUUUAAUUCGAUGAUACGCGAGGAACCUUACCUGGGCUCGAACGUAAGAUGACUGUAGGUGAAAGCUUACAUCUCUUCGGAGCAUUUUACGAGGUGCUGCAUGGUUGUCGUCAGCUCGUGCCGUGAGGUGUCGGGUUAAGUCCCAUAACGAGCGCAACCCCUACCUUUAGUUGCCAUCAGGUUAAGCUGGGGACUCUAAAGGAACUGCCUACGCAAGUAGUGAGGAAGGCGGGGAUGACGUCAAAUCAGCACGGCCCUUACGUCCAGGGCUACACACGUGCUACAAUGGCCGAUACAGAGGGCAGCUACCUGGUGACAGGAUGCAAAUCUCCAAAGUCGGUCUCAGUUCGGAUCGGAGUCUGCAACCCGACUCCGUGAAGUUGGAUUCGCUAGUAAUCGCGCAUCAGCCAUGGCGCGGUGAAUACGUUCCCGGGCCUU